CAGUGCAUCAUCUCACUGAGCUGUUUGGGUCUUUUUAUCUACAGCUUGUAGUGGCACGACCAAGGAGGAGGAGAAAGGACCAGGGAAGAAAAGGAAAUUCCCUUCAGAAUGGAAAGGAGAGGUUGGAGGACUACCUGUGCCGGAGGACAAGAUGGUGCUGGCAACAGUACAGCCUGCAGACUGUUUGAUUUCAGUCUUCGUUGCAGACUACCUGUGCCGGAGGACAAGAUGGUGCUGGCAACAGUACAGCCUGCAGACUGUUUGAUUUAAGUCUUCGUUGCAGACUACCUGUGCUGGAAGACAUCUGCAAGAUAGUGCUGGCAGGCUUAAUACAUUAUUUUAAAAU